CAGUAUUUGAAGCAACCUCGGAAGUCAUGGCUCUCUACUUCCGCUUCCCUCCCAAUUGGAGCGUGUUUGGGAGGGAAGCGGAAAUAGAGAGCCUGGUUUGCGAGGUUGGUAUUUGAC
rnacentral:miRNA from 1 species